AUACAGGGUGACAGCCCCGUACACAAAAAUGCACAUGCUGUGAGCUCGAUGAGUAGGGCGGGACACGUGGUAUCCUGUCUGAAUAUGGGGGGACCAUCCUCCAAGGCUAAAUACUCCUGACUGACCGAUAGUGAACCAGUACCGUGAGGGAAAGGCGAAAAGAACCCCGGCGAGGGGAGUGAAAAAGAACCUGAAACCGUGUACGUACAAGCAGUGGGAGCACGCUUAGGCGUGUGACUGCGUACCUUUUGUAUAAUGGGUCAGCGACUUAUAUUCUGUAGCAAGGUUAACCGAAUAGGGGAGCCGAAGGGAAACCGAGUCUUAACUGGGCGUUAAGUUGCAGGGUAUAGACCCGAAACCCGGUGAUCUAGCCAUGGGCAGGUUGAAGGUUGGGUAACACUAACUGGAGGACCGAACCGACUAAUGUUGAAAAAUUAGCGGAUGACUUGUGGCUGGGGGUGAAAGGCCAAUCAAACCGGGAGAUAGCUGGUUCUCCCCGAAAGCUAUUUAGGUAGCGCCUCGUGAAUUCAUCUCCGGGGGUAGAGCACUGUUUCGGCAAGGGGGUCAUCCCGACUUACCAACCCGAUGCAAACUGCGAAUACCGGAGAAUGUUAUCACGGGAGACACACGGCGGGUGCUAACGUCCGUCGUGAAGAGGGAAACAACCCAGACCGCCAGCUAAGGUCCCAAAGUCAUGGUUAAGUGGGAAACGAUGUGGGAAGGCCCAGACAGCCAGGAUGUUGGCUUAGAAGCAGCCAUCAUUUAAAGAAAGCGUAAUAGCUCACUGGUCGAGUCGGCCUGCGCGGAAGAUGUAACGGGGCUAAACCAUGCACCGAAGCUGCGGCAGCGACGCUUAUGCGUUGUUGGGUAGGGGAGCGUUCUGUAAGCCUGUGAAGGUGUACUGUGAGGUAUGCUGGAGGUAUCAGAAGUGCGAAUGCUGACAUAAGUAACGAUAAAGCGGGUGAAAAGCCCGCUCGCCGGAAGACCAAGGGUUCCUGUCCAACGUUAAUCGGGGCAGGGUGAGUCGACCCCUAAGGCGAGGCCGAAAGGCGUAGUCGAUGGGAAACAGGUUAAUAUUCCUGUACUUGGUGUUACUGCGAAGGGGGGACGGAGAAGGCUAUGUUGGCCGGGCGACGGUUGUCCCGGUUUAAGCGUGUAGGCUGGUUUUCCAGGCAAAUCCGGAAAAUCAAGGCUGAGGCGUGAUGACGAGGCACUACGGUGCUGAAGCAACAAAUGCCCUGCUUCCAGGAAAAGCCUCUAAGCAUCAGGUAACAUCAAAUCGUACCCCAAACCGACACAGGUGGUCAGGUAGAGAAUACCAAGGCGCUUGAGAGAACUCGGGUGAAGGAACUAGGCAAAAUGGUGCCGUAACUUCGGGAGAAGGCACGCUGAUAUGUAGGUGAAGUCCCUCGCGGAUGGAGCUGAAAUCAGUCGAAGAUACCAGCUGGCUGCAACUGUUUAUUAAAAACACAGCACUGUGCAAACACGAAAGUGGACGUAUACGGUGUGACGCCUGCCCGGUGC
rnacentral:rRNA from 1 species